UGUGCAUGCAUGCAAGUGUGUGGGUUUUAUUUUUUUUAAAGUACCGGUUCGAGAACCGUUUUAGCACCGGAACCGUUUAAAAGGUACAGAGAAGGCACCGGUAUUGAUAAAACCCAAACGGUACCCAAUCCUAUUCAUAUCCAGAGUGCACUGCAGCGCUAGACCCUCUGAGCAAGAGGUAACAUCAGAACUACGCAUGUCUAAGCAUUAUGCAUUACAGGCAAUAUAUGUUGUCACAAACCUAUGAUCACAUUACAUCAGUACAUUAAAUGCACAAUGCAAUAUAAAAGAAGAACUGGUGGUCACAUUUAGUUUUCUCUUGUGGCUCUUCCUAUGCAGGAACCCAAAGCAGUGUUGUAUCAUAUGCGAAAUUCACUAUGGUGUUGGUAGUGUGAGAUGGAGCGCAGUCAUGUACAGAGAGUAGAGCAAAGGGCUCAGCAUGCAACCCUGUGGGGCCUCUGUGCGAGAUUGUGAGAGUGGGGGAAAGGGGCGGGCCCAUUCUGACCGCCUGUGGCCUGUUUGUCAAGUGACAAGUGACUAUUACAGUGAUAAUGCAAUUCCCUGUAUCUAAAUUAAUAUAACUGUUCUCUCCAGCAGAUCAAGGAUGUAGCCAUUUCACUAACAAACAGUGUCACAAUUCGACAUCGGUGGAAGGUGUGAAGAUUGUGCUGACAGAGCCGCUUCUGGGUCCUAUCUUUAUUCCAAAAUUAUUAAAAGGACAAAAGACCAGGUUCUUCUUCAGUGGCUUCCCUGCAAGAAAUGUGGUAUAAAGUGGAAGAACACCUGGGAGCCCCUCUCUUACGUUGCUGCUCCUGAGUCAGCAACUGAGCAUUCCAGGAUCUCUGCAGGAGCAGAUUGAGCGGAAGGAGGGAUAAUUUGACACGAUAUGUUGUAAAAAAUGUUUAACUGGCCUCAUCGCAUAAUAAAAUCUAUAAAAACAAACUGUUCAAAAUGUUGUGUUGAGCUUGUGAUCUUGUUGCAAUCUGUAAUGUCUCAGCAAAAGUGUUGUGAUAGUUUUACAUAGCCUAUUUAAUGUUUGAGAGUACACAGGUGUGCUGUAUUGAGUGGCUUAUGUUUAGUACCAAAUUUGUUAAGAGGGAAGUUAACACCGAACCCUUCAGAAGAGCCAACUGCAUUCAAACCCUAUGUGAAUCUUAUUCACAUAGGGUUUAAUCUCAGGCCUAAUGAAGAGCUCCAACACUGUUGAAAUUGCAUACUGCUGAAUUGUAUGAUCAAUAGAGAAUUGAAUAAAACCCUUACAGUGAAAUUAGCUAAUUAGGCUUUCUAGAAUGAAGAUGUAAUGUCAAUGUAGACACGCAUGUUGUCGCUAUUCCGUCAGGACAGUUAAAAGCCAAGGAGUACUUCCUGUGCCACAUGAGAGCGGGCUGAGUAAAACCCAUAAAGGCUAGCCGACUACUUUUUAUAUACUUUAUAUAAAAACAAA